rnacentral:rRNA from 1 species
UACGAAGGGUGCGAGCGUUAUUCGGAAUCACUGGGCGUAAAGGGUGCGUAGAUGGUAUGUUAAGUUCGUUGUUAAAGGCUCCGGCCUAACUGGAGUAUUGCAAUGAAAACUGGCGUACUAGAGGGUGAGAGAGAGAAGUGGAAUUCCCGGAGUAGCGGUAAAAUGCGUGGAUCUCGGGAGGAACACCAAUGGCGAAGGCAGCUUCUUGGCCCGACAUUGACGCUGAGGUGCGAAAGCGUGGGGAGCAAACAGG